UGAGCGACUCGCCGAGUCUGCCACAUGAAAAUACUAUACACUCGAUCUUUUUCGAAUCCAGUUCAUGUCAUUUACAGAUCUGGGUUCUUAGGGCAGGAUUUUCACGUAAAGUUUCCAACUUUACGUGUAGAAAUGCAUAAAUGGGGAUUAAAGGCGAAAUAAGGGCUAAGAAGGUAGAUAUAGGACAUUCAAGCAAUUUACUCCCAUAAAGGUUAUAGAUCUGAGCUUCUGGAGCUCAAACAUGACUAGAUCUAGUGGAUAAUCAACCUAUUACGAAUUCUACCUCAUGCACAAGCUUGGAAAAGGUUCAAGAAGAGCUCAAAAGGUGCUUUAAUGGGGUUUUAAGCAUACAAACAGAAUGGAGCAGAGAUAUACCUCAGAGAACUCUGAAAUAGCACCAAGAUAUCUGGUCUCCUUCUUCUCUUCGUGAUCCACUCUCCUUCUUCUCCCAAAAUCUUCAAGGAAUCACUCUAAUCACUUCAAUCUCACAAGAAACGAGUUAGGGUUUGAUGUAGGGUGCUCUGAUGGUGAAAGGGGGCGAGCUUGGGCCGCAGAAGCUAGCUUAAAUAGGGGGCAAACCCAUGGGAUUAGGGUUUCAUCAGACAGCGGGGACUCACGGAGUCCGGAAUAUGGAUUCGCCAAGUCGCCAACUUAAACAUGCUCCGGAUCCCGUCUCUACUCGGCGAGUCGGACCUACAACUCACCGAGUCCAAGGCUAAAAAUGAAAAAUACUAAGAUAAAUUUUACAUACCAGGAACCAGGUGCUACAAAUCUCCCCUACUUAUUUUAGACUUCGUCCUCGAACUCUGCUGCUCAAUCCUGAAACAGCUCGCGGUAAUGCUCCAUCAUUUCUUCCACCGGCUCCCAAGUCCAGUCGGACCCCUUUCGGUGCUGCCACUGCACCUUUACUAACUCCACCCUCUUGUUCCUUAGAACCUUUGACUUCCGGUCAAGGAUUGCCACUGGGCGCUCAAUGUAAUUCAGGCUGUCAUCAACCUGUAUAUCCUCUAUAUGCCACCUUGCCCACUCGGGCUACAACCCUGAACGGUCCAAUGUACCUCGAGCCCAACUUGCCCCGCUUCCUGAAUUGGAUGACGCCUUUCCAAGGCGACACUUUUAGGAGAAUCAUAUCCUUGACUUGGAACUCCAGGUCUGAUCGACGCUUGUCGGCAUAACUUUUCUGCUGACUCUGCGCAGCCUGAAGCCUGCUCUGAACCUGCUAGAUUCUCUCGGUCGUCUUGAGCACCACCUCGGUGCUCCCCAUGACCCUCUGGCCAACUUCACCCCAACAUAUCAGGGUCCUGCACCUCCAACCGUAUAACAUCUCGAAUGGAGGACGGUCAAUACUCGCGUGGUAGCUGUUGUUGCACGAGAACUCAGCCAAGGGAAGAUAGGUACCCCAGCUACCACCGAAGUCUAGCACGCAAGCCCGCAACAUAUCCUCCAAAGUCUGGAUGGUCCGUUCACUCUGACCAUCCGUCUGCAGGUGAAAGGUGAUGCUAAAGUGCAGACGAGUGCCCAACUCAUCAUGAAACUUCUUCCAAAACCUGGAAGUGAAGCGCACAUCUCGAUCUGAUAUCACUAUCACUGGCACCCCGUGCCGCGCCACUAUCUCCCUGAUGUAGAUAUCGGCCAACUUNCCUCGCGCCGCGGGGAAGCUUUGUGAUAAAAUCCAUCGUAAUAUCCUCCCAUUUCCAUAACGGGAUGUCCAACGGCUGCAUCCUGCCGUGUGGUCUCUGAUGCUCGGCCUUGACCUUCCUGCAGGUUAAACACCGCUUGACGUACCACGCCACAUCCCGCUUCAUGCAGGGCCACCAAUAGUCUAGGCGAAGAUCCCUAUACAUCUUCGUCGCCCCUGGAUGAAUAGAGAAUCGGGAUUUGUGCGCCUCCUCCAUCAAGAUCUGGCGCACGCCUCCAUGAUACGGCACCCACACCCUACGGUGUAGUGUCAAUAACCCUCGGCUAUCAUAAUCGAAGGAGGUGACUUGACCCACUAUUCGCUCACUCUUCCGAUGUUCCUCCUUCAUAGCCUCCUGUUGAGCCUCCCGAAUCUGCUCCAACAGGGGAGUCACCACAGUCAUCCUCAUGCAAAUAUCCCUGAUCGGCGCCGCCUUGCGGCUAAGCGCAUCGGCCACCACAUUGGCCUUCCCCGGGUGAUAAAGGAUCUCGCAAUCAUAAUCCUUCACCACGUCCAACCACCGACGCUGCCUCAUGUUCAGAUUCGGCUGAUCCAUGAGGUACCUCAAACUCUUGUGGUCCGUGUAAAUGGUACAUCGAACCCCGUAGAGGUAAUGCCGCCAAAUCUUGAGGGCGAAGACCACCGCCCCCAACUCUAAAUCAUGCGUCGGGUAGUUCGCCUCGUGAGGCUUCAGCUGCCUCGAGGCAUAAGCAAUGACAUGCCCCCUCUGCAUCAAUACUGCGCCUAAGCCUGAGAUAGACGCAUCACAGUAUACCACAAAAUCCUCUACGCCCUCGGGCAGGGCUAAGAUUGGCGCCUCACACAAUCUCUGCCUCAGAAUCUCGAACGCUGCCUGCUGCUCAGGCCCCCAUCGAAAGACCACGACUUUCCUAGUCAACCGUGUCAGGGGUACGACUAUCUUGGAGAAAUCCUGAAUGAAUCUCCGAUAGUAGCCUGCUAAUCCUAGGAAACUCCGAAUCUCGGAUGGAGACUUCGGAACCUCCCAUCUCAUCACGGCCUCCACCUUGGCCGGGUCUACUGAAAUCCCGUUCUGGUUGACGAGGUGCCCAAGAAACUGCACCUCGCGCAACCAAAACUCACAUUUGGAGAACUUGGCGUACAAGCUCUCCCUCCUUAGGGUCUCCAAAACCUCUCUCAGAUGCUCCUCAUGCUCCUCCUGUGUCUUGGAAUAAACCAAGAUGUCAUCAAUGAAAACUAUCACAGACCGAUCCAACAUCGGUCUACACACGCGGUUCAUGAGGUCCAUGAACGCGGCAGGAGCAUUGGUGAGCCCGAACGGCAUCACCACGAACUCAUAAUGGCCAUAGCGCGUCCGAAACGCGGUCUUCUGCACAUCCUCUUCUCUGACCCUCAUCUGAUGAUAACCUGAACGCAAAUCGAUCUUGGAGAACCAAGAUGCUCCCUGCAGCUGAUCAAAGAGGUCAUUAAUCCUCGGGAGUGGGUAACGGUUCUUCACCGUUACCUUAUUCAGCUCCCAGUAAUCUAUACACAUCUGAUGCGACCCGUCCUUCUUCUUCACAAACAGCAUCGGGGCUACCUAGGGUGAACUGCUCGGUCUAAUGAAUCCCUUGUCUAACAGCUCCUGCAGCUGCGUAGACAACUCCUGCAUCUCAGCAGGAGCCAACCGAUACGGUGCCUUGGCUAUCGGAGCCGCACCAGGGACGAGGUCAAUCCUAAACUCCACCUGUCGCUCUGGAGGUAUCCCGGGGAGCUCCUCUGGGAAAACAUCUACGAAAUCUCGCACCACCGGAACCUCGCUCACUGUCGCCUUACCCGCCUCCCGGGUAUCCAUCACGUACGUGACAUACCGUGCGCAUCCCUGGUGAAGGUAGUGUCUAGCCCUCGCUGCUGAACAUACUGCGGGUCCGCUCUGUGGCCUCUCGCCAUGAAUCACUAACUCUCCCCCACCUGGGGUCCUAACUCGCACUAGCUACUGCACGCAAUCUAUCACCGCCCCAUUAGGGCUCAACCAAUCCAUGCCUAUAAUCACCUUGUUCCCACGCAACAGAAUGGGAACCAAGUCUACCAAGUAGUGCUCCUCUAACAACCGCAACACGCAAUUUCGAAACACCAUCGAUGCUCGCACCGAUCGAUCAUCAGCAAUCUCUACCUCCAAAGGGCAAUCCAACAUGCCCGAAGACUUAAGGAAACUUCUUGCUAAGCGCAAGGGAAACAAAUGAUUGAGUGGCACCCGAGUCGAACAACACCUGAACUGGAAUACCGUUCACAUGGAACGACCCUAAUGCAUACAUAUAUACACAGAGCACAUAUCAAUAUCAUAACAUCAUAAAAUAAAGUAAGGGGAAAGAAUCAUACCCGCCACCACAACGAGUGCGGCGCGUGCCUCCUCGGUAGUCAACUGAAAUGCCCGGCUCCUCACCACCGGAGCCUCUGCCUUGCCCUGCCGACCAUCAGUGAUCCACAGGGUCGCUGGAGCUGGCGCCUUCACUGGCGCUGAUGCUGUUAACUGAGGGCAAUUGGCCUUCUUGUGGCCCCUCUGGUUGCAAUGGAAACACAGCAGCUCAGAUGUCUGAAUCACGGAUGCAGGGACGGUACAAUCCCUGCUGAUAUGCCCCAACUUGCCGCACUUAUAGCAGCCUGACGAUCCCAGUCUACAUGCCCCUUCAUGAGGCCUGCCGCAUUUCCUGCAGCGGCUCGGUCCUGACUGGCCUUUCGGCCUACCAUCGGAUCCCUUGGGCUUCUUCCCCGAAGCCCCUCCUGUCUGUCCCUCCUUUGACUUCCUCUUCCAGAUGUACUCCAGAUCUAUCUCCCUCUCCCUCGCCCUGGCAAUCAAAGAGUCCAAGGUACGGCAAGCCAAAAAGCUGACAUGCUCCCGAAUAUCAACACGUAGCAUGUCGUGGUAGCGGGUCCUCAUCAUGUCUUCAUCACCCGCGUACUGGGGCACUAACAAUGCCCUCUCUCGGAACUUAGGGUGAUCUCCGCCACAGUCUCUGUCAUCUGCCUCAUGUCCAAAAACUCCCUGGCCAGCUGCUGAAGCUCGAAAACCGGCGCAAACUCUGACCUGAACCUGGUUGUGAAGUCCGACCAAGUCAUAGCCUCGACAGCCGAGGCUCCCAACAAGUCCCCCACGGACUCCCACCAAUCCCUAGCUCGAUCUCGUAAACACCCUACCGCAAAACUCACCUUUGACCCCUCGGGACAGAAGCUAAUCAUCUGUGCAGACUCAAUGUCUGCAAUCCAUCGUCUGGCAGCUAUGGGGUCCUUUGCCCCGUGAAAAUCCGAUGCACCACUGCCCUGAAAGUCAUUGAAGGACAGCGUGCAAGAUCCCAACUGGCUAGAUGCCAUGUCACUCCUGAAUGCUCAGAGGCGAUCCUCCGUCAACUCCAAUAUCCCUUCCUUGAUCGACCCAAAGAUAAUGGGGUCGACUCAAGGAUGCCUCUGGUGAUCUCUGACGCGAUGAACUCGCGUAGCCCCACAUCUACUGGCUCGGAACCGGAUCCCGAACCUGAUCCCUCUCCUGUACUACCAACUGCUGGCCUCGAGCGUAGUACCACCAUUCAGAAAUACAAAAGAAAUAACAAUUAUUAGCGAUACUGAUACUUCUGGAGGGAUCACACCUACUACAAGUUCCCUGGUCUUAUCUUGUCCUUCCUCGAUUCGGGUAUGGAUCCUCUACUUUCAGUAGUACAGGCCCAUACUACCUUCCACAUCUAUCCGUACCUUCUCCAAGGACUGCCUUGACUACACCAGGUCCCUUUCACUACCGUUGAUCUCUGCUACUCUUAUCCUAGGCUAACCCUAGGAAAACCUCUGACUCCACCCAACCCAGUCCUCAGCUGCUGAAGGUCUCUUAGUAAUACCAAUUAGCUAUUACCUAAAUACAAUCACAUGUAACGAGGCUCGGAUAAUCCUUCGAGUAAGGGACUCAUCCCUACAACGGUUAGGACUCAAACAAGAGCUACGCAAUAAGGUCAAAUCCAACACUCUGAUUCAACCCUGAUCACAUGUGACCUUAACGUAUUCACCUAACAGCUAACUCCCAUCACUCAAAGCCCACAUAGCAUAAAGCAAACAGGAUUUGGACAAAAGGAAACAAUCUCAAGCAACUCUAUCCUUGUAGAGAAAAACUGAACUAGCAUACAAUGCUAAACUCGUACUAUCAGGCAUAACCUAAACAAGCUAUCCUACUGCUGUCUACUCAGUUCUAGCAUGCAACAUUUCAUACACUGAAGCACAUAAGCAGGUACAUAAGGAAACACUCCUAGAUCCUUAGUCCUAUUCUAGCAUGUUGUUCUACUGAAACUGAUAAACAUAACAUAAGCUUGUAUGGGUACUUUGGGGAAUACUUACUUGAGCUCGGCCGGUCGCGCACAUCACACACUUCGUUCUUUCUUAAAACCCUUUACUUAGCCUUUUAGAAAACAUUUUCUUUUUCCAUAAUCUUUUAAUCCCUCGAUUUGAGUUCAAACACCCCCGAAGGUGUGUCCGAAUCCCUCAAACCAGGGCUCUGAUACCAACUUGUAACAUCCCAAAAANACUUGGCAUAACAUUAGGGAUAAAACAUUCAACGAUAAUAUCAUUUCACAAAAGAUACUGCAUGUCUAGAAAAAAAAUUAUAAAACAUUAAAGUGUCAGAAUACAAUUUCCCAGGAGGAUCUCGUGAUGCAGAAACCAAGGCAAGUGUGUGAUGUACCGCUACCGCGCCAGCUCCUUCCCUUUCGACGAAGAGGUACCUGAAACCGAAACUGAAAACUGUAAGCACGAAGCUUAGUGAGUUCCCUCCAUAUACCACAUACCAUACAAUCACAUAGCAUACAUACUGCCGGGCAAUUCUGGGGUGGCUGACCUACCCGUCCCGGCCAUUCUGGGUUGCCGACCUACCCGUGUCAAGCCGUUCUGGGGUGUUGACUACCCUUGUCAAGCCAUUCUGGGGUGCUGACUACCCUUCGAUCUUGACGACCGAACCUCGGGGACUAUUUCACCCCCUACUACUACUACUAUCACAUAUCAUAACAGAUCAUGCUAACAUAUAAACAUAACAUCACAUAUUGUCAGACGUAUCUGGGGUGUCUGACUACCCUCCGGUCCUAACAACCAAACUCUACCACUAUCACAUAUAACAUAUCAUGCUAGCAUAUAACAUAUUAUGUAGUAGCAACCUAGAUGAUAUCACAGAUACAAUCAUCUAUCAUACGUCUCCUACUGGUGGGUCGGCAUUGUGGCCUUAGACCCACCGCAACUGGAAGGUAACUCACCUCGAAAUAGCUGCUGGUCGGUGUGGGAAUUGACUGUCUGAUGCUGCUGCCGCUCCGGAAAUCCUCCGGAUAUAAUUCCCACAAAAUACUCAGUCAAACAUCGCUAAUUUCCCCUUGUGUAAAAUGACCAUUUUACCCCAGAUCAAGUCAAAAGUCAAAGUGAGGGUCAACUUCCAAUUGACCCGACUCGCUGAGUUGGCUCGCUAACUCAUCGAGUCCCGUCCAUUUGAUUGACCUUAACCCCGCCUUUACUCGUCGAGUUAGGCAUUGACUCGACGAGUUCGCCUUCUAAACUGAUGUCCAAGUCCUUCAUCCUACUCGCCAAGUUGUAUAAACAACUCGUUGAGUUCAUCUUCAUCCGAUGAACACUUUAUACUGUGACUCGCCGAGUUGUAUGAACAACUCGUCGAGUCUGUUCUUGAUCUAAGAAGGUUGCCUUGAACUCGCCGAGUCAGAGAAUUGACUCGCCGAGUUCCUUCAUGGAUCAGUUCAGCUUCCAACUCACCGAGUCCACCCAGGACUCACUACUCUACUCGGCAUAAACGAAAAGGGGGAAAACUCGGGGACUCGCGGCUCGACUCGCCGAGUCCGAUGAGCGACUUGCCGNGAUGAGCGACGCCGAGUCUGCCACAUGCAAAUACUAUACACUCGAUCUUGUUCGAAUCCAGUUCAUGCCAUUUACAGAUCUGGUUUCUUAGGGCAGGAUUUUCACGUAAAGUUUCCAACUAUACAUGUAGAAAUGCAUAGAAUGGGGAUUAAAGGCAAAAUAAGGACUAAGAAGUUAGAUCUAGGACAUUCAAGCAAUUUACUCCCAUAAAGGUUAUAGAUCUGAGCUUCUGGAGCUCAAACAUGACUAGAUCUAGUGGAUAAUCAACCUAUUACGAAUUCUACCUCAUGAACAAGCUUUGAAAAGGUUCAAGAAGAGCUCAAAAGGUGCUUUAAUGGGGUUUGAAGCAUACAAACAGAAUGGAGCAGAGAUAUACCUCAGAGAACUCUGAAAUAGCACCAAGAUAUCUGGUCUCCUUCUUCUCUUCUUGAUCCACUCUCCUUCUUCUCCCAAAAUCUUCAAGGAAUCACUCUAAUCACUUCAAUCUCACAAGAAACGAGUUAGGGUUUGAUGUAGGGUGCUCUGAGGGUGAAAGGGGGCGAGCUUGGGCCGCACAAGCUAGCUUAAAUAGGGGGCAAACCCUUGGGACUAGGGUUUCAUCAGACAGCGGGGACUCGCCGAGUCCGAAAUAUGGACUCGCCGAGUCACCAACUUAAACAUGCUCCGGAUCCCGUCUCUACUCGGCGAGUUGGACCUACAACUCGCCGAGUCCAAGGCUAAAAAUGA
rnacentral:lncRNA from 1 species